UACUUUGGUGACGAACAGCGCGGAUGAAGCACUCUUCUUCCCCGAUGAACUCAAAGACCACUCUCUGCCUCACACUCUCGAUUAGAAACCUCUCAUCUUUACCAGAAUUCGUCUAGCGUGUCUUCAACAGCGGCGAAGCGAAACCGAUAACCAGAGUGCAGGUUCCUAUUGUUAAAGGUACAGUUGCCUUAAGAUUGCGAUUGUGUUGAUAUGAUUGUUGAUUGAAGAACAUAGUGAAGGUUGAAGAUGUUGAAGGAGAUCACGGUGAUCGCAGAUGAGGAAGCUAUCGAAUACACUUGAUGAACGAAAGAUGAAGAUCCAUGGUGAUUGAAGAGUUUUUUACAAGUGAACUUUGAAACCUUCAGAUUCGAUUCUCGAUCUCUCCCUCUCUUCCCAUUUUGUUAUGAUCUUUUAGUUCUGGUUUUUCAGGUGAAUUCAACGGAAGUGGAGAUUGGAGAAUUAAGAGAAUCUAGAAGAGAUGUUCUGUGAGGUUGUGAAGAUUAUAGAUUGUUGGAGAGUUUCUUUUGUGAAUUGAAGAUAGGUCAAGGUUGAAGUUAUGGAGAAUUGAGAGGAUUGGGGAAGAAGAUGGAGGGAAUGCAAUACCGUUUGAUCCGGUUCAGUGGGUUUUUAUGGAAUCGGUUUCAACCUGAUAUGGAAAGGUCUUGUUCACGUUGGCCACCACUAUUAAUCACCACCUCAUCACGCACAUCCAUAUGGGUACCAAAAUGCAUCUCAUGGUUGUAUGGUUUUGUGUAGUUCAGUAUAGAUACUGGAAUGGUGUAAAGGGUUUUUGGAUUUUAGACUUUCUUUUUGUGUAAUUCUUUAUAAUUUGGCUUUUGUAAUGGAUAUCUUAGAUUUGAAUUGUAUGGACAUUUGUGAUGUAUGGACUUUGAAUUUUGUAAUGAAUAAGGUUUUGAA